CACCAUCGUCGGUUUGCAAUCUCUGCACAUCCCGUUACACUGUAGUUAUCACGAUCUACUCACCCUCAUUCAAUUGCAUUCUUUACUUCAUUCUUUAUCAGCUAUGCUAUCCUUCCACCUCCUUUUUUUCACUCUUUUAUAAACCCUUUCUCGAUGAAUCCAGAAUGACCAUCUCCCUUUCUUCGUCAUAUCCUUUUUCUUUUUAAUCUUCUUCUCUCUCUCCCACAAUUGUUCAUGCCGAGAUGACCUUAAAAAAUGAGUUGGCUUCACCAAAAUGGAGCUGAGAAACACAGUCUGGUAAUGGAGAUUCCUAUUGGCGCCACCGUAAUCACCAUUGGCGGUAUCCAAAGAAGCCAGUGCCAUCUUAAUAUCAUGGAGAAGGACUUCAAGUGCUUCACUACGAAGAAGGCCAAAAGUAUGAACCACACUAUGAUUACUUUGUUGACGAGUUCAACACUAAGAAUGGAGGUCAACGCAUGGCUACAAUGCUCAUGUAUCUGACGGAUGUUGAAGAAGGCGGUGAAACGGUGUUUCCUGCUGCCAAUAUGAAUUUUAGUUCCGUACCAUGGUAUAAUGUGGUAAAAAUGGACUUUCCGUAAAGCCUAGAAUGGGCGAUGCGUUGCUCUUCUGGAGCAUGAGGCCCGAUGCUAUGCUAGACCCCUCAAGCUUGCAUGGUUGAUGUCCUGUGAUUAGAGGGAACAAGUGGUCAUCUACCAGAUUUUAGACCAACUGUGGAUAAUAAGCCACCAUCAAAGGGAAAGAACAGGACUGGUAUUAUUGUUGGCGUCAUUGUUGGCUUAGGACUUUUGAGCAUCCUUGCGGGUGUUGGUAUCUUCAUCAUACGAAAAAGAAGAAAGCCGUACACUGAUGAUGAAGAUAAUAAGAACUCUUUUUUUUCUUUCUUGAGCUGAAAAUGUUUUGGCAUCAAACUGGAAUAUUCAUCUUUCAGAUUGCUUCAUUUUAAGAACUGUUCUUCUUCUUUUUUUCUCGCAGAGCUGCUUAGUAUGGAAAUAAAGCCUUUCACAUUUACUUAUUCGGAACUUAAAAGUGCAACUCAAGAUUUCAAUCUCUCAAACAAGCUUGAAGAGGGUGGGUUUGAGCCUGUUUAUAAGGUAAGUCCCAUACCAAAGUAUCUGCAUAUACGUUGAAAGAAUAUCAUCUUCUUCCCUUUUUUCCCCAUUAGCUUAAGGUUUUUUCUAAUAGUAAAUUCAUUUUGCUUCUCUCUCUCAGGUACAAACUCAAAUGAUUCAGUUUUCUUUAAAAAGCUCACAAGUCGUGGACCUCUUGCUAAGAAAUUUAUCCAGUGGCUCCUAUCACUUCACCAGAUUGGUUAGUGUGACUUUAUCAUCAUCAUGGCUCCUUUUAUCUCCAAAAGUUCGCUUAGUUGUUUAGUUUUAUGUAUUUGUCAGGUCUUGAUGUGAACCGUACAGACAGGUCUUUGGAAUUUUAUGAGAAAAGGGAGAAUCUGUCCAAGCUUUGGGAUAUUCUCUCUCUGUUUAUGCCUGGAUAGACCAAGAUGUCGGUUACUGUCAAGGAAUGAGUGAUCUUUGUUCUCCAAUGAUUGUUCUUCUUGAAGACGAAGCUGAUUCAUUCUUUUGUUUUGAGAGAUUAAUGCGUCGAUUGCGAGGAAACUUCCGGAGCACGGGGAGAUCUGUUGGAGUUGAAGCUCAACUUACUCAUUUGUCUUCAAUUACUCAGAUUAUUGACCCCAAGCUUCACCAACAUCUAGAUAAACUGGGGGGAGGUGACUAUCUCUGUGCUAUUCAGAUUGUUCUACUUCAUGUGAUAGUUUAGUCGGAUCCUGUAACACUUUUGAGUAUAACCAUUUACAAGUACCUACUGCUGAUAUAGUGGUAUCUUUUUUUAAAUUAGGUGGCCCUCUCUCCGUACUUAAACUCAUCAAUUAACAAACAUUUUUUUCAUAGUA